rnacentral:tRNA from 1 species
GUUGUGGCUCAGUGGUAAAGCGUUUGCCUAGCAUGCAUGAGGCACUGGGUUCGAUUCUCAGCAAC